AAUGCUAGAAAAACACUUCACACCAAAAAGUACAAUUUAAGACUAGUAUAUUUCCUCGGAAGGUUCCAAUAAAUUUUACAGGUGUCAAUCAAUCCUUGUUCAAAUCGGGCACACACCAAAUCUAGCAUCAUGGGAGUUUUAUUGGAAGUGAAUUUUUAACUAUCAAUACAAAUGUCAAGAUACUACACAAAACAUCCACAGGAACUUAUUUUUUUUUUUUUUGAAUUGUACACAAACAUUUCCUACAUAAUCCAACAUACAACAGAGAAAUGGUACAUCUUUCAAUUUGCAUACAAUGGAAAAACAAGAAUAUAUAUAUAUUUUACAAAGUUUAACUAAUAGACACUAGCAGGUUGACAGUAAGUCUAUAGGUGAGAAAUUACCUAAUAAAAAUAAUCAGAAUUUAUUCAGCAUCACUCACUUCCAUAACCAAGUGUUAUUGUGAUUAAUAAAACUUGCUGCCAAUCAGGCUUCUGGUAUAUACUUAUACCAUUAUUCAAUUUGUAGAACUGCUCCCCACCACGUUUCUUCAAAACUAACAGAAAACUGUUGAAGUGGGGGCAAGCAUUUGCAAAAACAAACAAAAAAUCCCCAGCUUAUUAUAAGCAUGAAUAUGUAAGAUGGAAUUUCUUCCUAAGCAAUGAACUUUCAAACCAUCAAGAAAACACCAGAACCAUUUGCCAAGAUAUUUUGCCUAUGUCCGAGAAAAGAUGCACUUAUAUCCAACAGAGGAGCUGAAAAUCAAACUUAGUGUUUAGUUUUGGGUGGAUUGGGAAAUUAUGCCACCAUUUGAAAAAUGACUGUCUUAAAAAAAAAAAAAAAAAA